rnacentral:rRNA from 1 species
ACGCUCGACACCUACGAGGCAGCAGUGGGGAAUAUUGCACAAUGGGGGGAACCCUGAUGCAGCGACGCCGCGUGAGGGAAGAAGGUUUUCGGAUUGUAAACCUCUGUCCUUGGUGACGAUAAUGACGGUAGCCAAGGAGGAAGCCACGGCUAACUACGUGCCCGCAGCCGCGGUAAUCUGAGCGGGCUGGCAAGGC